GAAAGACAUGUGUUGUUAGUUGUGGCAGUAAUGGAGCUGCUGCUAGCUGCUCUCACUGAUAAAUACUGCUGCUGCCAAAACACCUGCUGUGCCAACCUACUGAGGGUGCCAUGCGAACCACCAGCCAAGUGUGACUCCCCUGCUCCUGAGGGUGCUCUGAUUUGGACUGUAUUCCCAUGCAGCAGCCUUUGCUUGUGGAGACUGUGCAUGCUUCAACAGCCAUUUGUGAAUAUGCACAUUUCCAAAUUGUCAGCAAUGAGAAACAGAGGAAUCACUUUUCAACUUCUGAUCUUCCAAGUACUCUUAAUGGGCAUGUAUCCAGGCAUUUGCAUUAAUGUCAAGAACUGCUUAAGUGCCAAACUGCUCCCUGCUUAAUUCUGAGCAAGCCUGUGAACCUAGAUCUGCAGCAAAAAUCAAGAUGUAAAUUCCCUGCUGCAGUUUUGUUUAUGUGCUUGUACAUCAGAGAAUGAUCAUGCUAAGAAAUCGUUAACGGUCAGCUAUGAAGAGAAACAGCGCUGACCAUUCAGGAUCUGCAGACACGUGCAAAGCAGCGUACCGUGGAAGCGGAGAAGGGAACCUGGUACCGGCCGUUAUUGAGCCUCUAGGUACCAUCACAAUAUUGAUUAAUAAAGCAUACUUCCUGAGCAGAGGAAUUAGCAAAGCCUGGUUUCCUGUGUCAUACAGCUGGAUGUCCUGGUGCCAGAGGAAGUUUACGGCACUACUGAGCAGCACUGCUGGUGAGGCAGGAUCUCCACUAGAAAUCUCAGAGGGGUGGACUCUCUACUCUCCAGGAAGGAGGCCCAAAGCAGCAUUUCCCAAACUAGGAAAUCUGGAAGCAAGCCUAGAAGUGCAAAUGGAAGCAGAGUCGUGAAUGGAAAAGUUUGGGAGUUGUGGUAUAAAGCUUACUCAUUCAAUCCAACCAGAUUUUCAACAAGCUGUUUUGCAUAUUCUGUUGUAAGUAUUAAUUGGCUCCUUGCAUAGAGGAGCUUCAGAAAAAAGCAGCUUGCAGAGCUAAGAUGCCUUUGAUGUUCUUCAGGUUGCAGCCAUAAUAUUAAAACUGAAAUAUUAAAAGCAUUUAGUUUUUUUUCCUGUGGAGCAGUCCUUUUAACUUAAUCUUUGUGGAAAUCCUACUAUAAAUAAGACAUAUAUCAGUAGUCCCUUCCCCCUUUUUCCUGUGAAUGUUACAGCUCUUUUACAAAAUGGCCUCAUGUGUAAAGACAAAUGCAAAGCUGUUGCUGUGUGACCUGAUUAAAGGAUGGAGCCCUAUUAUCAGUUAUAUUGAAAUUAUUGCAUAAUUAUUGGCUGAAAUCCUGGCCUCACAGCCAAUGGCAAAAGUAGAGCUGGUGGGCACUAGGGCUUCCUCUCCUGUUUAUAACCUGCGGUGUGUGAUUUUCACAGCGUGAAGGUGCUUGUCAUAGGCACUGCUGCAUUUGCAUUACACACAGUCUAUGUACAACGGAUAGUUCUAAGAAAUUCCCCAUCACUGUACUUUGGUUUAAUGAAUAAAAUUAGCUUCCUG
rnacentral:lncRNA from 1 species